rnacentral:misc_RNA from 1 species
CGCACCUUGCGCUCCUUGGUAUUCCGAGGAGCAUGCCUGUUUGAGUGUCAUGUUAUUCUCAAUCCCCUGGGUUUAUUCUCUUGGGAUUGGAUUUGGAGGGUUAUUGCUGGCUUUGCAGCCGGCUCCUCUUGAAUGUAUUAGCUGGGCUUUUGCUUGAUGCAUUGGUGUAAUAAUUAUUACUUCACUAAUUGUAACUUGCUAUUGAAGCUUGCUUCUAAUCGUCUUUUUUUCAAAAGACAUUGAUAAGGAACUUUAUGGAUCCUUUGACAUAUUUUCCUCAAAUCAGGUAGGACUACCCGCUGAACUUAA